AUGGCUUCAAGCAAAGGGAAUGUCCGUUUUGACAUCCCCACGUCAAGGGAGGGGCUGCAGGAACGUCCAUCCCUUUCCCAGCUCCCCCCAGGCCCGCAGGAGGAAGCCUCAGCUGGGAGCCAGCCCAACACCUCUGACACCGGCCGCCCUGCCUUUGGGCGAAGAGGGAGCCGGCCUCGGGCGCGGAGGCUUCCGCAGGCGCCGGUGUCCAGCUGGGAUUUGCUCACACGUCCUUGCACUGGUGUUUAUGGCAGCCCUCCGUUGACGGAGCCGAAGCCACGAAGAUGUUCCGUGUGGUGUUAUUUACAGCAGGAGGGGAGAAUCGGAAAUAACACAGGGGUCGGCAAUGACUGGACUGUUAAAAUAACUCCCACCACUUCCUUCAUUGGCGUGAACACUGAGGACUAUCAGGUCCCAAGAGAACCAAGGUUUUUUCCUCUUGUUGAAAGAAGAAUCCCUCAGCCCCGAAAAUAACGGCCAGCAUAUAAAGGUGUUUGGUAUGUAUUCUGGGGAUGAAUGAAUAAAUAAUGCUGUGAAAUUAAUUUCCA
rnacentral:lncRNA from 1 species